rnacentral:rRNA from 1 species
AUUGAACGCUGGCGGCAGGCCUAACACAUGCAAGUCGAGCGAGCGGCGGACGGGUGAGUAAUGUCUGGGAAACUGCCUGAUGGAGGGGGAGAACUACUGGAAACGGUAGCUAAUACCGCAUACCAUCAGCUGAGCCCAGAUGGGAUUAGCUAGUAGGUGAGGUAACGGCUCACCUAGGCGACGAACCCUAGCUGGUCUGAGAGGAUGACCAGCCACACUGGAACUGAGACACGGUCCAGACUCCUACGGGAGGCAGCAGUGGGGAAUAUUGCACAAUGGGCGCAAGCCUGAUGCAGCCAUGCCGCGUGUAUGAAGAAGGCCUUCGGGUUGUAAAGCACUUUCAGCGGGGAUGCGUUACCUGCAGAAGAAGCACCGGCUAACUCCGUGCCAGCAGCCGCGGUAAUUC